UAAUCUGUCUGGGACAUAUCGUCAUCUAGUUGUGGCAGACCCACACGUAACUGCACAAAAUCACUUGUUAUCGCAAGCCCGACUUCUUCACUUCGAUACUAUUUUAAAAAAUCAUCUCGGCUCAAGACUUAAGU
rfam:Populus trichocarpa scaffold_15_contig_17, whole genome shotgun sequence.